CGGGGUAUAGUUCAGUUUGGCAGAACGCUACAUUUGGGAUGUAGAGGUCGCAAGUUCGAAUCUUGUUACCCCGA
rnacentral:tRNA from 1 species